rnacentral:misc_RNA from 1 species
AACGCACCUUGCGCUCCUUGGUAUUCCUUGGAGCAUGCCUGUUUGAGUGUCUUGAAAUUCUCUACUAUCCAACUUUUUUCACGAAAGGCUGGACAAGUAGGUGCCUGGGCUUGCUUGCGGUUUGGUUACAGACACACGCUCGCCUUAAAUGCAUUAGCUGGACUUCAGUAGAGUUGUUAAGUAACAUUGAAAACUCUUGUCAUCGAAGUCUGCUUUCGAAUCUGUCUCCUCUUCUGAGGUAGAUGUAUAUUUUUUCAAUUUUGGCCUCAAAUCAGGUAGGACUACCCGCUGAACUUAA